UCCCCGCACCCCGGCUUGGCCCCCCGACUCCCAGGAUCUGGGAUCGAUUCCAGGAGUCUUUGGCUGUGGUCCCCAGAGGCGAGGAGCAAAUCCUGGAGAAGUGUCCCCGUUGGGGCCGGAAUAGGGGUUUCGACGGCAGCGCAGGAGUCCCCAGAGGGCUUGGGAGCGGGGAGCUCCAAUGGGAGGUGUCGGUAAUCUGAAUUACUAAAAUGCAACAGGAAUGCUGCUGAGGAAAACUCUACUCUCAGGAGGACUUGGUCAAGGCAGCACGGUGCCAGGCACAAUGGUGAUUAAGACAGCUGCUGCCUGUCCUGUGUGGACACUUGUGGUCUAGAUGGCAAGAGCCAGACAAGUCAACACAUUUGGGUGAGAUCAGCAAAUGCUCAGACCACAAAAUCAAAAUAAGUAGGCACCGCAAAUCAAGUGAAUAUUCAAAAAAGAAACAAAAUCAAAUCAUUACCACACUACUGGUAGACAAGAGCCCACAUUACAGGACCAGAAGUCGGAAUGAUCACUGGGUCCUGAGUCCCAGAUCACCAGUCAGGAGUGGACCACAAAGGGCUCCAAGAGGCCUUACCUAAGAAGAGUAAGCAGAUACUCCCAAGACAAGGGCUGAUCAUAUCCUGGUUACGGCACUAAACUGAGAAAGACAAGUGUACCAAAGAGGUGAUUUUAUUUAGACUACUGCAGUAGAGAGAAUAUUCAUUAAUGAGGAACAUCUCAAAGAAAAGGAAGGGGUUCUGGGGUUUUUUAAAGACAGACAAGAAAGAGAGCCAUCCAUGAGUUUUUGGAGUAAUGAGGAAGGAUGGAGGUGGGUCUUAGCUUGAAAUACACCAAGUAAGGGUGAACCUUAUAGGGUAGGAGGAUUUCUUCCCCAUUGCUGCUUUCUGGGAGCAAAGGACUCAAAAUUCAACAUUGUCACAUUGUCAACUAUACAAAAUGUUUGUUGAUAAAGAACAAAGUAUUAGCAAUUGUUAGAGAGGGCAGCAUACUUCGCAGUACACUUUCUAUAUUCUAACUGCCUAGGAGCAAAUCUUGACUAUUGUUCACUAGCUAUAUGACUUUGGGAAAAUAUACAAUCUCUGAUUCUUAUUUUUCUUAUCAGUUCAUUGGGCAUUAAAACAGUAGCUUCACCAUAAAGCUGUUGUGAAGGUCAAAUGCAGUAAAGAUGAAA